rnacentral:rRNA from 1 species
AAUCUGGGGCUCAACCCCAGACCUGCAUCCGAUACGGUCGAGCUAGAGUUUGGUAGGGGAGACUGGAAUUCCUGGUGUAGCGGUGGAAUGCGCAGAUAUCAGGAGGAACACCAAUGGCGAAGGCAGGUCUCUGGGCCAAUACUGACACUGAGGAGCGAAAGCGUGGGGAGCGAACAGGAUUAGAUACCCUGGUAGUCCACGCCGUAAACGGUGGGCGCUAGUUGUGGGAACCUUCCACGGUUUCUGCGACGCAGCUAACGCAUUAAGCGCCCCGCCUGGGGAGUACGAUCGCAAGAUUAAAACUCAAAGGAAUUGACGGGGCCCCGCACAAGCAGCGGAGCAUGCGGCUUAAUUCGACGCAACGCGAAGAACCUUACCAAGGCUUGACAUAUACAGGAAUAUGGCAGAGAUGUCAUAGCGGUAAAACGUCUGUAUACAGGUGGUGCAUGGUUGUCGUCAGCUCGUGUCGUGAGAUGUUGGGUUAAGUCCCGCAACGAGCGCAACCCUCGUUCUGUGUUGCCAGCAUUUAGUUGGGGACUCACAGGAGACUGCCGGGGUUAACUCGGAGGAAGGUGGGGAUGACGUCAAAUCAUCAUGCCCCUUAUGUCUUGGGCUGCACGCAUGCUACAAUGGCUGGUACAAAGGGCUGCAAUACUGCAAAGUGGAGCGAAUCCCAAAAAGCCAGUCUCAGUUCGGAUUGGGGUCUGCAACUCGACCCCAUGAAGUCGGAGUUGCUAGUAAUCGUAGAUCAGCAACGCUACGGUGAAUACGUUCCCGGGGCUUGUACACACCGCCCGUCACAUCACGAAAGUCGGUAACACCCAAAGUCAGUGGCCCAACCGCAAGGAGGGAGCUGCCAAAGGUGGGAUCGGUGAUUGGGAUG